rnacentral:rRNA from 1 species
GGUUGACCUCGAUCAG